UACGUAGGAGGCAAGCGUUGUCCGGAAUUACUGGGUGUAAAGCGCGUGUAGGCGGCAGGCCAAGUCUGUGGUGAAAUCGCUCGGCUCAACUGGGCGGGGUCCAUGGAAACUGGUCAGCUGGAGGACGGUAGAGGUGAGUGGAAUUCCCGGUGUAGUGGUGAAAUGCGUAGAGAUCGGGAGGAACACCCGUGGCGAAGGCGGCCGGCUGGGGGUGACCUGACGCUGAGGCGCGAAGGCCAGGGGAGCAAACGGG
rnacentral:rRNA from 1 species